CACUCUAAAAAAUGCUGGGUUAUUUUCUCAACCCAAACGCUGAGUUAAAACUGUUGGGUCAUUGUGUGGGGUUGUUUUUACUCAUGUUGGGUUAUUUUCUGUAACCCAGCUUGUUGGGUUGAUAGUUUAGGACAGCGCCCCUCCUCUCCCCCACCUGACGUGAGCACACUACUCAGCACCAGGGUAACUUUAACACAGCUGCAUAGUUAUUUGAGAGUUCGGGGGAAAUCGUUAUUCUUUCAACCGUCCAUGCAGUCCAGCAGCUUUCAACAUGCAGUGGAAAUCAGGCGAUUUUGGAAGGGCUGACCCCCAAAUGGACCGUGGAAUCUAGCUGUCUUCAUGGAAGUAACUUAUCACAUGCUGAUGCUGCUUUUAGAGUAGGCUAUCCAUUCAAAAAUAAAGUAAACUGUCAAAUAAA